CCACCAUUUGUCUCUUAAGGCCUUGCUAGUACUCUAGGACUAAAAAUCAUAAGCCUUGCUUGGAGUAUUCCUUUAAAAAAAAUUUGCUUGUUGGCAGGAUGCCAACCAUCUGACCUCCAAUGUGCACUGAGCCAACAUUGGAUUACUAUUAACAUAGCGAAACACUGUAUUAUACUAUAUGGGACAAACACUGAAGUGAAAAUGCAAAAAUGAUGUCAC